rnacentral:lncRNA from 1 species
GUCCAAAGCAGUAAUCCUCUUAUAUUUCAUUACUAGCACCACAAGCCUCUGUGAAAUGGUCUCUAUCAGAACCAUAAUAACAAUGGGUUGCGGCUAAGCUCUCUAUCCCAAGUUCAGUCACAGCAAACACACUAACAUAUUGAAUCUGUGCCUGCCUUUGAUUUAUUAGCACCCACUAAGCCUUUCCACACAGCUGCAGUCAGGUAGCAGACCUGAGGCAGCAGCUAGCAGCUGAGAGGGAAGAAAAACUAGAUUCUACAUCACAUCUCUGCUACGCCUGACUAUGGGAGCACUUCAUUUCAGGACAUGUUAUCUUAACAAGCUGCCGAAGAUAGUUCAAACUAAUCUGUUAUUUUGCUUUGCUAUGAAUUGGAUGGGUAUAACUCUUAGCUGAGAGCUGUUAACUGACUACAAGGGCUCUUCUGCUCCAUCUAGGGGAAAAUUCAAACAGGUGAAUUUAAUCCAUUUGAUUUUUGUCCUCACAUGGAACAGAAUUGCUCACGUGGGCAAUUACUGAAUUACAGCCAGCAGCCAUGACGAACAGACGAGAAGCAGAUAAGGACCAUUUCUGGUUUUAUCCUCUUGGUUCUGUGUAUCCUGACCAGGAUACACAAACAAGAAGGGGAAAAUCAGCCUUAGAUGUUGAACCUGUUUCUUCCACUGCCCUGUUAAUUUUGCACGUAAACUCCAAGGUAGAAAAUAAGGCUUUCAUAAAGAAAAAAAAAAAGUCACAAGAUGAAGACCAUUUAAGAAUCAAAUAAAGAAGGGAAAGCACAAGGAAAAGGAGCAACUGUGGGGUGAACUCCAAAAAGUUGCUUUGGGACACAAAUUGGGGACUGGAGAGAUGUGAUGCUCAGAAAAAUGCUGAAAACUUUUAGCUCAGACUUUUCUAACCAAGUAAUGAACAGUACACUCAAGUGAAGCUGUGAGAAUAAGGCCACUGGUAGAAAGGCGUUCUGCUUUCUUUCAACUCCCUACAAGUUACAAGUCAAUAAUCCAAGCAUGGAUAGCCACAGACCUCAUCACAACAUUUCCAGGUGGCAGAGGCACCCAAAACCCACCUAAAGACAACAGAAAGAAAAACAAAGCUUUCCAAGAUAGACCUCUGAGCUGAAAGGAAGACCCUGAAAUGCUGGAAGGAAGACCCUAAGUUUUCUUGUUGCUUAAGGAACUGAAGUCCAGCAGAACUGUCUUGCCUUCAUGGCAAUGGCUAAGUGAAGAGCCGGGGAAAUAUAGAUAUGGUGGAAAUGCAGCAGUCCCUCAGGAUGUGUAUUUGUGGUUCUGAAUAACCAAGAAUAUGAUAAUCUCUAUCUGAACGAUCUCUGCUAUCUUAGAGGAUUCUUUGAACAAAGAAAGAAUGUUCUACUUAAGACUUGGCUUUCUAUAUAAAGUGUAAUAAAUUACCUUUCUAGUGUGUAAAAUUACA